rnacentral:lncRNA from 13 species
AAUGUUUUACUUAAUAUUCCAAAAUACAGAGAUACAGCCUAAGAGAGAUUUUGCUGUGAGAAACAGCUCACCUCUGACAAAACUUUAACGUGUAUGCAUGCAAGAUUUUCUUUCUAGUGUUUACCUAUUAUAGUUCCUUUUGUUUCCCACAAAUGAAAGCAUUGGUGUUUAACCGUGUAAAAUCUGCUUCUCUUCUCUGCCCUACCAAUGCAUCCAGCAGACGGAGUUAUCUGUCCCUACAGACAGAUCAGUGGAAAUAUUUCCUCUCACGUUGGCACUCAAAUGUAAAAGGUGUCCUGCAGGACUUGGAAAAGACUGGUGACUUACAAGACAUGAUUCUCUUUCCCAUGGUAUAUGACAUUGAAGGACAGGAAAAUUCCCUCCCACCUACCUUCUUUUUUUUUCAAUCUCCAUUUCCCUUUGGGCUGCCUCAGGUACUGGGCUAGGCUUGGCAUGUAGACACAAUUAGAAAUAGAGGCGAGACUGCACGGAGCAAAGUGUCCAAGUGCUGAGUGAGUGCCCAAUGGGCCGUAGCAAAAUGCACAACCAAGUCAAAGAAAAAUGGAAAAUAUUCCAUAAAAUUCAUCUUUGCAUCCCUUUUUCCUCUCUUGAUAUAUGGCCCCUUAUUCACAGCUGCCCGGGCCCCGGCCUGCGUGUAAAUAUGUCAGUGCAGCAAUGAGACGGAACACGGUCACAGAACGCCGGCGGCUGCUCCCAGAUAAAACACUGAGCUGGAGCCCAGGAGUUUAUUGUAAAUAAAGAUCAAGGCAAAGCAGCAGCAUUUCUGCUCGGCUCAAGCCUGCCAAGGUUGCUAGUCCAGCUCCUUUCACAACUACCAUAUGUCCACAUGGAUUUCCCCUUCCAGAGAGUGACAUGUUCCUCUUCUCACAGCUCUGUACCCUUUGCAAGCUCCCCGAUACUUUCCAUGUGUUGCUUUACAGUGACCUGGAAGCACUGGUGGCAGAUGGGACAAGGGGUGGGCAUGGAAGUGAACUUCCAACUGUUCUGCUCCAAUACUGCUCUACCUGAACACUCCCUUUGUGGGCCUGGGACAUGUUAAUGCUUACUUCGGUUCUACUCAGUAGAGGGCACUGGAUCCUCCUGUAAAUGGGAAUUGAUGCCGGGAAGCACGAGGGUCUGAUCACUUUUGCAGAUGGACUGAUUUUUUCCUUCUGGAUACUGGUGGUGUGGAAGAGAAGUCUGCAGCUCUGUCUGCUGCACGCUGAUUGACUGAGAGAAAACCAUGGCAUGUGUUAGCAAGUGAUAAACUUGUCAUUUACAUAUAUUUUUUAUUUUAAUUAAAGAGGUAGCUACAGAAAUCAGUUAUCUGGAAAUCAGGCUGGGUAAAGUACCAGCUAUCUGGCAUCCUUCUGAAGAGCAACACCAGCCAGCUGACACAAUGCAGGGAGAUGCAAACACCUACAAACUAGAGCCUGAACAGCCAGGCUGGGGUGGAAACUGGUUGAAUUGUUCAGGCUUGUUCCUGCAGCCCACAGGGAAAAUACAGGAGUGGUCUGAGGAGAGCUGGCUGGAUCAGGGAGUUUAGCCUUCUUAGCCUGUAGCCUUUGAUCCAAAGUCCACACAAUUUCAUUAUAAAGUUAUAAUUUUUUUCAGUGGGUUCAUCUUGUUCUCAGCAAUACCCACAAACAAUGCACUGUCAAUCCACUCCACUCUCCCUCUUUCAUCACUGAGUUCCCUUUGCUGUGUGCUGGGAUUUGCAUUUUCCUCACUCAUGGCUCUGAUGAGCUGUAAGCCAGAGGGACUAUAAAAAAAAUAAUUAGGAAUGUAUUUUUUUCAAAUUAUUUUUUAAGUUUAGAUGGAUCUUAUGCAUGUGUGUUGUAACAUAAUUCUUUCAAUAAUAAAAGUUUUAAUGCUAAUAAAGAACAUAUAUUUAAAAAACUUGCUAGG